rnacentral:lncRNA from 10 species
GAAGGACUUCCGGUGGCUUCCAAGGCGACUCCGUAGUGGAUGCAGCGCCGGACGCCACAGCCGAAAAACAGAAUCUUGGAACUGGUUUAGUACAAUCCAGGUCGAGUUCCUUGUUUUUUAUCCGAGUGGCCGGCAGGCCCAUGUGCUGUCUUGUUUUUAACACAUCAGCUCUUGCCGGAAGCCGCUAAGAGAUAAAAUAGGAAGUCCCACCCUUCCCUUAGAGAAGGAAAACGGAGAGCCGAAGGAGUCAAUCUAAAUUCGAUGAGCGCGUCGGGCUCCAAGGCAGGCGCUGUCAGCCCGGGAGGGCUGUCUGGGAUUUCUAGAGGGUCCCAGAACGGGUUCUUCCCAGGCCGAUCCCGCCUGCUUCCUGCCCCGUCUCUCCACCCGCCUCCCGCCCUCUGUAAGGGACCCCGAGGGCGGCGCCGGAAACACGGAGAAGGCCCAGAACGGCGCGGGACCCGAGAGGCCUACGUUGGCAAACGCAGCCCGCUGCCCCUUUGCUCGCUUCCCCCGGGCCUGGAGUGGCUCCUGUCGCUUCUGGCGCUCCGAUUUCGAGAAAUGACUUUCAGCUGUGCAAGGCGAGAAUGCUACUUUAGAUGAUGAGAAAAAAUCUCUCGAAUGGCUCCCAAAAUGAGGUCCUUGUUUAAGAGGCCACAGGAAGCCGCUAGCCGAACUCUGAUACCAAAGAGGAGGCCAAGAAGCGGACUGUGGCUUGGUGACCUGUUUGGUAUUGCCAAAUUUUCAGCUUUUAUUAAAGCUGAAACACCUUGGCUGUUUAAAACGUUCGACAAGGACUUUUUUAUGAACGUUAACGGCACAGCAUACGGGUUUUUUGGAAAAAAAAAAAGGCAGGACUUCAGCCCGUCCGCCCCCUUGUGCAGGUCCAUUCAUGAACCUCGAGUUAGAGGCCUUUCUUCUGAAACUCAGAAUCUAGUAGGGAAGACCUGUGUAGACGAAUAAAAAUAAAUACAUCACAGCUUGUUAAGUGCUGUGACAAAGAGGCAGUGAAAUCCUGCUUGAGGUCAUCUGCCUUGCUAAAGAGGUUUGACUAUGUUGUAGGCACAGGGUUAGGGUUAGACUCUGUAAUGGGAAGUUAUGUGAUCAGAUUUCUGUUUAGGAAGAUCACUGGCCAGGCGGGGUGGCUUACGCCUGUAAUCCCAAUACUUUGGGAGGCCGAGUCGGUGGAUUGCUUGAGGCUAGGAUUUUGAGACCAGCCUGGGGAAACCGCGUCUCUACUAAAAAUUUGAAAUUAGCCAGGCAUGGUGGUGCGAGCCUGUAAUUCCAGCUACUUGGAGGCUGAGGCGGGAGAAUAGCUUGAACCCAGUGGCGGAGGCUGCAGUGAGCCGAGAUUGCGCCACUGCACUCCAGCCUGGGCGACAGAGCGAGAUUCCGUCUCAAAAAAAUCAUUCCAACGAGUGGAUAAAGAAAAUGUGAUAUAUAUGCACUAUGGAAUACUAAGCCAUAAGAAGGAAUGAAAUAAUGGCAUUUGCAGCAACCUAGAUGGAGUUGGAGACCAUUAUUCUAAGUGAAGUAACUCAAGAAUGGAAAACCAAAUAUUGUAUGUUCUCACUCGUAAGUGGGAGCUAAGCUGCGAAGAUGCAAAGGCAUAAGAAUGAUAUAGUGGACUUUGAGGACUCAAGGGUUGAAGGAUGAGACUACACAUUGGGUACAGUGUGCACUGCUUGGGUGAUGAGUGCACCAAAAUCUCAGAACUCACCACUGAAGAACUUCCCCAUGUAACCAAAAACCACCUGUUCCACAGAAACUAUCGAAAUAACAUUUUUAAAACUUUACUAUUUCUGAAUAAAAUUUACAUACAUUUCUCAGAAAAAAAAAUAUUUGGAAUUGAGGUAUCUAAUAGAGAACUGAGUUAAAUUAUUGCCACUUAAAAACACAAAGUGAUAUAGCCACUUUAUGAAUUAAUCAGUCAGCAGUGGCUAGGUUAUGCUUAGUGGUUUAUAACCAAAUCUUAGUUUAUAACAACAAAUGUGUAUUGUUAAUUCCCACUACAAGUUUAUAACGACAUUGCUGGAUGCUACACUCCAUGUCUCUUUGUGGGACCCAGGCUCAUGGGACUUCUGUUACCUGCAUUAGAGAGAGAGAAGACAACAAAAUAUGCACUGGUUCUUGAAGCUUUGGCCCAGAAGUAAAAUAUGUCUUUUACCUGUUCACAUUGCAUUGGGCCAGGGCAAUUAUCAUGGCUGCAAGUAACUUCAAAAGGAUGGGGAAGUGCGAUCUUGGCAUGUGUCAGAAGAAAUGAAAACAUUUGGUGAAGAGCAUUAAUGACUGUCUUUACAGGAAAAAAGCAAUCAAAUAGACAUGAUUGCUUGUUUCAGUUUCAUCAUUUCCUACUGUGUUACCUAAACUUUCUGAGCCCCAGUUUCUUAUUACUAAAAUAAAAUAAAGAUGAUAUUCACUUCAAGGACUUUGUGUUAACUAGGGUAAAAAAAUUGAAAACUAGUAAGUUAUGCAAAUUAGAAAUGUAUAAUAUUACUGCUUUGAAAGUGAUGGUGAAAUGUAGAAUAAUUGGAAGGAUAACACAAAGCACUUAUACCAGGAGGCUUUUAGCUGCAGAUAAUAGAAAUGAACCUCCACUACUUUAAUCAAUAAAAAAGUGUAUCAGCUCACAAAUUUGUCAUCCAGACAUAAAGGAGGCUUCAGAAUUUAUUGACUCAGGAGUUGAAUGUUGGUAUCAAGGACCUAGAUUUUUCUCAUCACUCUGCACUUCAAUUCUCAAUGCCCUAUUGAACAUCAGGCUGUAGUAAGAUGGCUAGAGUGAUUCCAGGGAUAACAUCUAGAGAUAAAAAAGAGAACUCCUUUUCUUAUGAUUUUUUUCUUAAGAGAAAAGGAAUUUCCCAAAAGCCCCCAGCAAGCAUGCCUUCACAUCCCAUGGCCAGAAGUGGCUCACAUGUGUACCCUGAGCUAAGCACUGCAGACAGGAAUGGAAUCGCCUGUAGGCCUCAGAGACCACCUGGAUCUUGGGAAGGUGUCAGCUCUACCUGUGGCACUUGGCUGAGUGGGAAAGGGAUGGAAACAUGAAUAAAGUAAGAAUUAGGAAGGAAAAGGAGAAAUGGAUCCAGGGUAUGAAGCCAAUAGUUUAGUUAUCUCAACAAAUAUGAUUGAUUUCAUCUUUAUGAAUGUGAUGACCUAAUUUAAUACAUUCAAUCAAUGAAGUAAAAAAAAGUGCAAGGACAAUAUGACAUCUGUCAUUCUCUGUUGAGAUUUGAGAGGUAAUAAUACCAAGAACGUGUGGUGACCUGGGUCCUCACUGCUACUGUCUUCCUGUACCUGGACACUUCUAGCAAGAGACUUCAACUUCAGAACAAAGAGGAUCCCAACUUGUAGCUGCAUUAUACACACCCCAGCAGCACACAUAAGUUGAUUUCUAAUUAUUCCUCUUUAAGAAAUUGUUUGUGGAAUAUUUAUCUAUUUAUAAAUGGAAAAAUAGAAAAUUAAAAUAACAAAAAUAAGUAA